rnacentral:rRNA from 1 species
UACGUAGGGUGCAAGCGUUAAUCGGAAUUACUGGGCGUAAAGCGUGCGCAGGCGGUUGUGCAAGACAGAUGUGAAAUCCCCGGGCUUAACCUGGGAACUGCAUUUGUGACUGCACGGCUAGAGUGUGUCAGAGGGGGGGUAGAAUUCCACGUGUAGCAGUGAAAUGCGUAGAUAUGUGGAGGAAUACCGAUGGCGAAGGCAGCCCCCUGGGAUAACACUGACGCCUCAUGCACGAAAGCGUGGGGAGCAAACAG